UUCGGUCCAAUGACAUUUUCUCUAUCUCUCACACCGUUGACUUCACACAUCCUCUGCAAAUCCCAUGGAAACGCUUCCUUUCAACUUCACACCAUGCGAUAGAAAUGAAGUGGUGUGCUCGAAUCGAGAAUAGCAGUAGAGAAGAAUCAGAAAGCCAGUGGAGAUGCAGAGAAAUCCACCAUUUUCAUUAUUGCGGCAAAGAUUCACCGGAGAUAUAACCGUGGAAUCCUCAAGGUCUCCAUUUGUGACUCUCUUAGGUUUUCUUUGAGAUAGAUGAAUCACCGGAUAACCAUGGAUUCUGGCCAGAAGCUUGAUGUGAUUCAUUCUCGGUGCAUAUGAAGUAUAAACGGCAACGAAGCAAAGAGAUAUGAGCAUCAGGGGAUUCAAGGGUGAGAUGGGUUUCAAUUAGUGAAGGGAACAGCCAGAGGAUGAGACAUGGGCCAUAAUCAUUCCGGAGAUAAACGUCUUGCCGUGGUGGAGCGUUAACGUAUAGAUCUGAAGGAGAGGCCAAGCAAAGCUUUUCUUUAGUCGAUAGAAUCAAAGUCUAUUGUCUUGGUAUAUGAGGGGAAUCAGUAGACCAGAUAUGGGCCUUUGUCAUUACAGUGAAGAAUAUAGUAAAACAAUUGGGUUGGUAAUAGGUUGAGCCAUGUUUUAACAAGAAUGUAAAAAAUUGGAGAAUUAUAUCGGUUUCUCAUUACAAACAUUUGAUUUAUUUGGAUUUACAUAUGAUCUGU